GAUAUCGGGGAACACGUCACCUACAAAAUUCAAUAAAACACUCGAAGAGAGAGAACUGAAGAGUGAGAACUCACCGAAACCCUAAGCUCGCGAUAGAUAUCUCCACUGCCAUCUCCGUAGCUGCCAUCGCCGCCAUCAACGCUGCUAGAGUUCAUCUCCUUUCUACUUCUACCAUAAUGCUGCUGAGAUCGAGCCAAGAUGCCUCAUUCAUCAACACAUUUGCAUAUGUAAUUGCAACACCCAAACCUUUGAGAUCGAGAGAAAGUGCCUCUUCGGUCAACUCUCCUCUGCCAGUGAUGCUCGUGUUCUCCAUCGGCAUCCUAUCCCUUCUGUACACUCUUCUUUCCACUCAUUCUCAACUUCUGAUUCCUCAGAGCAAGAAAAUUUGAUAUCGAGAAGACAAAGCUAAUGUGUGCUAGCAUGCUCAAGUGCAGGAAGAAAUUUGGUUCAGACACUAUUGUAGAGGUACUUGGAUCUUGUUUGUGGUGAACCAAGAAUCAAAGGAACCUUUGAUGUGUAUGGCAACAGUACCUUCUUUGUAACUGCAUGGUGUUAGUGUUUGAUAUUAUGCUACCAAUUCAAUUCUAAAUAAAUCUAUAUUCAAAUGUGACUACUUAUUAGAUUUCACAAUUAAAUCGGCAGUGGCUUUUAUGUUGCACCUGAGUAGAAAUAUAUACAAUUUUCCUAACCCCUCUGUUUUGCUGUUUGUUUCUUUCUUCAAUCUUAUGUGUUCAAUCAUUUAGUAUAACAAUAAUAUUUGAAACAAAUGUGAACUGAAGAUGUUAUCCUCCAAGAUUCAAGGAACGAUUUUCAGAGUUAUAGUUCAAAAUGAUGAACAAGUUGAGGUUUCGUUUACAAGAAUGUGGGAUCUUUCUCUUGAGAAAACGUUUAUCCCCUUAAACAUUGACAGAAGAUUCAUACUUCUCCGAGGUUCAUGAUGUUUCUACUCUUAUGGAAUUUAUGAGCACUUAAGAAGAUGGCCAGACUUUGAUCUCAGUGAAACAAGGAUCACUUUCAAGCUUAGAAAACACAUGAAUUAGCUCCCUCAGUUAAAACUUUUGGUGAACCUGGCUUUCCACCGGCGGGAACACACGUCUUCUACUUCCCUCAAGGACACAGUGAGCAGGUCGCAAUGUCUUUGAAGAAAGAUGUGGAUGGACAGAUUUCUAACUAUCCCAAUCUUCCAUCCAAGUUGUUGUGUCUUUUUCACAGUGUUACUUUGCAUGUAGAGUGAGUCACAUGGGGUGGGGUAGCAAUGAAGACUUGAAUGAAAAUUUUUACAAAAUUUUAUCAAAGUGAACUGGAGUUACCAUUUCUAGCACUUCUCUUUGUCAUCCUUUCCCCUUAUGAGGUCAUGAGAUUUAGGGACACAAAAGAAGAUGCUAUCAUUUCAUUAUUGAUUGCAGUGUAUUUGACUUACCGGCAUUUUUCAAGAACAAGUUUAUAGAAAUUACUUGAUCAAGGUUCAAUUGUUGCCACCAUAACUAUUGUUUGUAUCACUAUUGCAUCUUUGUUGCUUCUGAUCUGAGUUGCUUUAGAAUGAUGUAUACUCAUAAUAUGUUGUACAUAAUAAUUUCUGGCAGUGGUGAUCAUUGUGUAAUAUAUCAUAUCUGGAUUUUAUACUUUUUUUCACUAAUUAUUGCUUAUUCAAAUAAA